GAUGAACGCUGGCGGCGUGCUUAACACAUGCAAGUCGAACGAUGAUGCCCAGCUUGCUGGGUGGAUUAGUGGCGAACGGGUGAGUAACACGUGAGUAACCUGCCCUUGACUCUGGGAUAAGCCUGGGAAACUGGGUCUAAUACCGGAUACGACCAUCUGGCGCAUGUCAUGGUGGUGGAAAGCUUUUGUGGUUUUGGAUGGACUCGCGGCCUAUCAGCUUGUUGGUGGGGUAAUGGCCUACCAAGGCGACGACGGGUAGCCGGCCUGAGAGGGUGACCGGCCACACUGGGACUGAGACACGGCCCAGACUCCUACGGGAGGCAGCAGUGGGGAAUAUUGCACAAUGGGCGCAAGCCUGAUGCAGCGACGCCGCGUGAGGGAUGACGGCCUUCGGGUUGUAAACCUCUUUCAGUAGGGAAGAAGCGAAAGUGACGGUACCUGCAGAAGAAGCGCCGGCUAACUACGUG
rnacentral:rRNA from 1 species